UACGUAGGGUGCAGGCGUUAAUCGGAAUUACUGGGCGUAAAGCGUGCGCAGGCGGUUUGCUAAGACAGGUGUGAAAUCCCCGGGCUUAACCUGGGAACUGCGCUUGUUACUGGCAGGCUUGAGUGUGGCAGAGGGGGGGUGGAAUUCCGACGUGUAGCGUGAAAUGCGUAGAGAUGUGGAGGAACACCGAUGGCGAAGGCAGCCCCCCUGGGCUAACACUGACGCUCAUGCACGAAAGCGUGGGGAGCAAACAGG
rnacentral:rRNA from 1 species